AUUGAACGCUGGCGGCAGGCCUAACACAUGCAAGUCGAGCGGAUGACGGGAGCUUGCUCCUGGAUUAAGCGGCGGACGGGUGAGUAAUGCCUAGGAAUCUGCCUGGUAGUGGGGGAUAACGUCCGGAAACGGGCGCUAAUACCGCAUACGUCCUACGGGAGAAAGCAGGGGACCGUCGGGCCUUGCGCUACCAGAUGAGCCUAGGUCGGAUUAGCUAGUUGGUGAGGUAAUGGCUCACCAAGGCUACGAUCCGUAACUGGUCUGAGAGGAUGAUCAGUCACACUGGAACUGAGACACGGUCCAGACUCCUACGGGAGGCAGCAGUGGGGAAUAUUGGACAAUGGGCGAAAGCCUGAUCCAGCCAUGCCGCGUGUGUGAAGAAGGUCUUCGGAUUGUAAAGCACUUUAAGUUGGGAGGAAGGGCAGUAAGUUAAUACCUUGCUGUUUUGACGUUACCGACAGAAUAAGCACCGGCUAACUUCAUGCCAGCCGCCGCCGUAACAC
rnacentral:rRNA from 1 species